rnacentral:rRNA from 1 species
GACAGAGGGUGCAAACGUUGUUCGGAAUUACUGGGCGUAAAGCGCGUGUAGGCUGCUUCGCAAGUCGGGUGUGAAAGCCCUGGGCUCAACCUAGGAAGUGCACUCGAAACUGCGAAGCUUGAGUCCUGGAGAGGAAGGCGGAAUUCUCGGUGUAGAGGUGAAAUUCGUAGGUAUCGAGAGGAACACCGGUGGCGAAGGCGGCCUUCUGGACAGUGACUGACGCUGAGACGCGAAGGCGUGGGGAGCAAACAGG